rnacentral:tRNA from 1 species
ACCUGACUGGCUCACUCAGUAGAGCAUGGGACUCUUGAUCUCAGGGUUGUGAGUUUGAGUCCCACAUUGGGUG